rnacentral:rRNA from 1 species
AGUGAACGCUGGCGGUAGGCCUAACACAUGCAAGUCGAACGGCAGCACAGUAAGAGCUUGCUCUUACGGGUGGCGAGUGGCGGACGGGUGAGGAAUACAUCGGAAUCUACUUUUUGUGGGGGAUAACGUAGGGAAACUUACGCUAAUACCGCAUACGACCUACGGGUGAAAGCAGGGGAUCUUCGGACCUUGCGCGAUUGAAUGAGCCGAUGUCGGAUUAGCUAGUUGGCGGGGUAAAGGCCCACCAAGGCGACGAUCCGUAGCUGGUCUGAGAGGAUGAACAGCCACACUGGAACUGAGACACGGUCCAGACUCCUACGGGAGGCAGCAGUGGGGAAUAUUGGACAAUGGGCGCAAGCCUGAUCCAGCCAUACCGCGUGGGUGAAGAAGGCCUUCGGGUUGUAAAGCCCUUUUGUUGGGAAAGAAAAGCAGCAGGUUAAUACCCCGCUGUUCUGACGGUACCCAAAGAAUAAGCACCGGCUAACUUCGUG